CCAGUUUUCCCACUCUCUCUGGCAGCCCAUUUUUCAUCCUUACUCACUUUAUCUCCGAAAGAACUAGCGACCCAUUUUCUGUCGAGCUCUUUCCCGUAACCCUAGCCAUCUCCUCCUUCUCUUCCGCUCUCUUUUCACGGCCACUACAGCCUACCUCUCCUCUGCUCACUCCCGCCCUCUCCCUCAUUAACCGCUGGCAAGCUCUCUCUCUCUCUCUCUCUCUCUAAGAUCUCAUAAGAUUGCAAGAAGGGGAAGAAUCCUUCUCUCAAUCUCUCUGUAGAAUAAGGAAUUUCGAUGGCUGCUGCGAGCGCGGAGAUCUGAGGAAGACCAACGCCCUCUCCGUAUAGCGGCUCAAGGAGCGGUUUAGAGAGUCGAGGUGGACCACCGGCUCAGGCACCACCAGAUUUUCGUUGACGGCUACUUCUCCUUGUAACCCGACAAGCUCGAAGAGGUCGACAUCGAGUCUGCUGAGGUCUUAUCCCCUUUCUUUUACUGCGAAUGCUGACAGUUCUCAAGCUACACAGUUGUGAGGACAUCAUUUCUGCCUCAAUGAUUGCUGGAGAGUCUGAUGACCCUGCCAGAUCCCUUCCCAGAUUGCUAAACUUCUUUCAGCAAAAGACAAAAUGCUGGUUUUGUGUCUCUUGCUAUGGAUCCUUGCAAUGGUUGUAUUUUUGGUGUUCAGCUUGGGAUCCCGAGGCACAUUUCAUGGACCACUGCCUACUUGAAAUCUUAUUGUAGAGGAUUGUGCCCAUGAUUAUGGAUAAUGCAUUUAUAGUAAAUAACUAUACCAGAGAGCUGUGAUCAAACUGAGAAGACUAAGAGGUCCAAGGCCAAUGGCUUUUGGGAGCAGUGGAGGUGAACCUGAAGUUGGGGAGUGGCUUUAUCUGGGGCUGGACUUUGGGACUUCUGGAGCGAGGUUUGCCAUUAUUGAUAAACGAGGGAUAAUUCAUGCUGAGGGAAAGAGAGAAACCCUCUUCUUUUGAAAGAGUGAAGAAAAAAUGGAUUGGGCCAGUUCAUGGAAGGCCACACUCUUCUCACUUCUCGGAGACAUUCCAUCUCAUCUUCGUAAAUUGAUUGCUUUCAUUUCCAUUGAUGGGACUUCUACAACUAUUCUCAUUGUUGACAGCAACACAAGAGAGCCGUUAUGGAGACCUUUCCUCUACAAUGAGAGCUGUCCUGAUGCUCUACCGAUGGUUAAAUCCAUUGCUCCUCCAAACCAUACAAUCUGCUCUGGUUCCUUUACUCUGCACUAUUGUUGCACCAAGCAGAUUGGCUUUUGUGGCUUCUUCAUGGAAAACUCGGAGUGUUUGAUUAUAAUAAUGCUUUGAAGGUCUUGCCGAUUGUCAAUCAGUGCUUACUAUGUUAACACGCUACAGGUAUGAUCAUCAGUCGAAUGAGGGUCAUUGCUGAAGUUAGGCAUGUGGAUCUAUUUCACUCGACCAAUGUAGUAUCAAUUUAAGGUGAUUAUAUUAUAUUGCAUAUCAUGUACAAUUUUCAGAAUUGAAUAUCUUGAUACUGUUUUAAAUGAUUGUUGUAGCCAAUGAGUAUCUUGAUAUAUAUAGUUCAUAUUGAUCUUGGAUGUGAAUUCGAAUAUUAGGUACAAUACAACAAUAUUGUUGUAGCCAACGUUUUAAAUGAUGGAAAUGGGGAGCUAAACUUUGACCUGGGUAGUAGCAAUCACUUCGUUUCCCGUUGUGCUUUCGCUAUAGAGCAGCUUUCAAAUACUUUAGAUCAAAGUAGUUACACUACAAAGAUAUAAUACAAAUUAUUUUAGUAAUGGACCAUCAUAAGAGGAAUAGGAGACAAGCUACCUAGCUAGACAAAACUGACUAGCAGCAAACGUAUGGCAUACUUCGACCAGAAAAAAAAAAUGAAAAUGAUACAUUCAAAUUCAACGUAACUUAAAUAGUAGAUCCGUAAAAAUUUACUGCUUUUAUAUGUUGGAAAUCUUUGUCAUUCUCUACAAUAACUCUCUGCUUCUUUUUUUAAUUUAAUUUUUUUUUCUAUUUGGAAAAUGCAUGUCCUAUUUGAAAAAUGGAUGCACUUUUUUUGCAGGUUGCAAUUGAGCUCUCUUAAGUUUUUGCCCAAACACUUGUUUAUGGUGUCAUAGUUUAUGCAAUCAUCAGAUUUGAGUGGACUGUGGCUAAAUUCUUAUGGUACCUAUUUUUCAUGUAUUUCACCUUCUAUUGUAUGGUGGGAGUGCUCUUCACACCCAACCUUUCACCUUCUUUAGUUUUUUGAAAGUCUGCUGCUUAAUAGAUUAAGCUGUUGAACUCAGGCAUUUGGAAUUAUUCCAUGUCAGUAGAUGCAACGACCGCACUUCCGCACGCGCGAAAGCGCGUGCAGGAAGGCUAGUAGAUAUAAAACAGGAAGUUGUUAGGGUGUAUGUUAGUUUUUGUCCAAACUUUUCCAUAAACCUUUUGUCCUAGGACAUCACUGCUUACUCGCUCUCAUCCUGUUAUAUAUGUACUAAGCUUAUAUAUCAAGGGGCAUAUUGCCGAAGAAUAAAUAUGGCCAUAGGUCUGUGGGGUCUCUUAUCUCAAAAAUAGAGGAAUUCACAUAGUUAGUGAAGUUAGCAUAUAGAAUGAUCAGUUUUACAAAAUUUUAUGAUUUUCUGUAAUGUUAUUGAUUUUUGGCGGUCAUGCCCUUGCAUUAAGCAAAGGUCGUGCAUCAGUUUUGCAUCUUCUGCGAAUAUUAUCUUAAUCCUUGCUAUAGGGAUGCUCAUAUCCAUAGCUCUUUGUUAAACAUAUUAUGAAUGAUAUUAACAGAUCUGGGAGACUUGUGCUGAUUAACAGAUCUUAAUCCUUGCAUCGCUGUUUGUUUUUGUUUUUGGUUUUGGUAAAAUGCUGGGGCAUAUAUCUUCCGGCCUAAUGGUACAUUUUUCAUACCUCUGUUUUUGAAUUCUCCAAUUGUAACACCACUUCUCAGAAAGCUUAAAGCAUAUAUACUUAUUUUGUAUGAAUGUAUAGCUGCACCACAAGUCCGUUAUAUGAUGCAAGAGAUCAUGUUCUAUAUAAGGUAAUCUAUGAAUGUAAUAAUUUUUGUUAUAGACUAAUGUAUUUAUAUGUUCUUACUAGUAUUUGUUCAUUGCUCUCUUUUGUUUGUCAUUUUCGUGUUCCUAUGUUCUUAAGUCAUAAUAGAUAUUUAGACUUUGUUUAACUUUCUCACCUUUGUUUGGUCAGGUCACCAACACGUAUGACCACGUACUGGUACACAUAUGGUGUUUCUCAAGCAUUAUAUGGGCGAGUCUUUGACCACUGGAACUUGCAAGCAUGAGGGAAGUAACUGGAACUUGCGUUGCUGAUCCAUUUUUGCUAAGGAAAUCAUCUUUUUUUGUGCUUCUCUGUUGGUACAUUGUCAUGCACCAUGUGUUGCAUGUUUUGGAAUAAUAGAUAUAUAUGUAUCAGCUUUUUGAUGUCCCAAGUAGAUGGGCAUGCACUAGAAUGCUUUUCUUGUUUAAAAUGUUGGGUUCAAUGAUUAGUGGUUUGCAAUGUUUAUA